AGCGAACGCUGGCGGCAGGCCUAACACAUGCAAGUCGAACGGAUCCUUCGGGAUUAGUGGCGGACGGGUGAGUAACACGUGGGAACGUGCCCUUUGGUUCGGAACAGCUCAGGGAAACUUGAGCUAAUACCGGAUGUGCCCUUCGGGGGAAAGAUUUAUCGCCAUUGGAGCGGCCCGCGUCUGAUUAGCUAGUUGGUGAGGUAAAGGCUCACCAAGGCGACGAUCAGUAGCUGGUCUGAGAGGGUGAUCAGCCACAUUGGGACUGAGACACGGCCCAAACUCCUACGGGAGGCAGCAGUGGGGAAUCUUGCGCAAUGGGCGAAAGCCUGACGCAGCCAUGCCGCGUGAAUGAUGAAGGUCUUAGGGUUGUAACAUUCUUUCACCGGGGACGAUAAUGACGGUACCCGGAGAAGAAGCCCCGGCUAACUUCGUGCCAGCCGCCGCCGUAA
rnacentral:rRNA from 1 species